rfam:Cellulophaga phage phi4:1, complete genome.
UUUCUCAUAGUUUAACUGGAAAAACACAGAGUUACGGCCUUUGAGAGUAGGGGUUCGAGUCCCUUUGAGAAAA